rnacentral:lncRNA from 1 species
CUCUUUCUCUCUUUAAGAGUUGCUACUGGUAUUGGUGCUACUGCUUGACGUCAUCGGCGCCUAAUCGCGAGACGUACUUGCCACACACACCGUAGAGAGUGGAUGAUCAGACGUCACAACGAUGCGUCCUCUUCGCUCGCGCACUCCAGUCUAAGGAGAUAAGCAUCCUUCUCCUUCUUUCGUAUAAUGAUGAUGAUGAUGAUGAUGAUGAUGAUGAUGAUGAUGAUGAUAAUGAUGAUAACGAUGACGACGAUUUAAAUGAUGACGAUAAUGAUAAUGAUGACGACAACAACGAGGUCCACCUCCUCCUGGAUCGCGCCGUCUCCUCACGUGUUGUUUCUCCACCUCCAGCUUCUCUUGAUUCUACACCACCUCCCACUCUCGUCCUCGCGCGAGACGUUCGACGUCCGUCGUCGUACGUACCCACUAGAUUCAUCGAUCGAACCACCACGAUGAUCUUUUCAUCGAUUCCUUCUACUCUUUAUUCCUUGUGUUUUGAAUUUUCCGUUAAGAAGAUCACCAAGAGAAAAAUAAGAGAAAUACAAGGAUGGAAUUUGCAACAAAA